UCUAAACCAUUACCACACGGUAUACCACUGAAUACAGUCGAAUCGUAUCUGACUUUAGUGGGGCCCUAUACCUACGCCCUCCUGAGAUCGAGACGGCACACAAGGGAUGGGACUCCCGGCUCAGUUUAGAUCUGGAGAGGCGGACAAGCUCCCCGCCAGUCCACCACUGCUCCUGCUCGUCGCACUUUUCCGGUUGCCGUCGACUAGCCCACAAUAGAGGAGGCGACCUCCCUUUACCCCGCACCAUCACGGCGCCAGAAGAGGAUGAGCCCCAGGAGCGGCCAGAGAGGAGGAGAAAGAAGAGGGGAAGGAGAUGGAAGUUUCAGAUCCAAAGUUGUUGUUCUUGUUUUUCUUCCCAAAUCUGUUUGCUUUUUUGGUUUCCUGUGAUUCUAGGUUUUGAUGUGAUCUUUGUUGGUUGCUAGGAAGAAAAUGGAUGAAAAAAAUCUGCUCCUCAAAUUCGCCCAAAGAGUCCUAGAUCGGGGAUGGCCAGAGGAGGAAGACGACGGGGAGCAUAGACACCUCCGGAUCUCCAAUCCGCUUCUCCCCCCGAGGCUGUCGUAAUGCUCCUCGUCUCCAAGAACUCCUCACCAGGCUCCUACCACCAGUCGAGCAGCUUGAGGAAGUACACAGGUGAGAUCCACAUACACACCUUCAUCUGUCUUAUUCUUUCUUCUUUUUGUUGGAUCCAGCAAGAGGGUGGAAGCAGAUGUCUUUUACUUUACCUUAUAUUUCUCUGAUGAAAAUCCUUUUAUUUUCUCCUCGAUUUGCUAUGGAUCUUGGCUGUUACAAUUGAUGUGCGAAAAAGAAAUACCCUACUGAAUUUGCUCUAAUGUUUCUUUACUUUUCAGAGUUCUAGGUCGCUCUCCCAAAAAAAUAGUUCUAGGUCGCUGCAGCUCCAUGACCUCGGGGCAUGGCUCGAGGUCGGCCACUAGAUGCUCUUCGUCUUAAAUUUUGGGCGCGAAGACACGGGAAGGCCAGGCAGGAGCAUGACUCUUGUUUCACAUACCCAUCCUCUUCUUUUUCUGUGGAUUGGAAGGGGUUGCGUCUUGAUAAAUUUUGUAUAUUGCAUUCAAGAUUUGUGUUAUGCUCGUUCUUAGCACUUUUCUGGUCAAGGGAAGGUACUAGAGAACCUAGUUCUUAGCCAAAAUGCUUUUCGAGUGAAGCAGACACCAUUGCUUAAAGUAACUGACUUAAUAUUUGAGGAUUUGCAAGCACUUCUUUUAACCAAGAUAAAGUACGUACUUGGUUUCUCAUCACUCCGCACUUUUGUUAUUAUUUCAGUUUUGGUAUUGUUUCACCAGUUUGUUAACUAUGGAAUCAUGACUGAAUUAUUAGUUCAUACUGUGAAUGCUUUGAUUUAUUCAUGCUCUUUGCGCACUUUACCGAUCAAUCCAAAAGAACUUACCGUC
rnacentral:lncRNA from 1 species